UUGUGAAGUAAUUAGAAUAGUACAAGUUUCUUAGCAGCUUUUUUGUUUUAAUUGAUGUUUAAAGCAAUUACAACACUGCUUUGCUGUAGCCCUAUAGACUGUGCUAGCAUGAUGUAAUGUAUGUUCCUCCAAUAGGCAAGUUGCUGUAGCUAAUUUUCUCUGGUGUUUUGCUUUGGCACCAACAGCAUCCCUCAUUAGUUUCUUUAUUAGUACAUUUAAAUACCUUCUUAGCACCAUUAAGUUGGAAAUGGCUUUAUUUUUCGUUCAGCAGUAUUUGUAUUCAACAUAUUUUCUCAGCGCUCCCUACAAGAUUCCUUACAACAGAUGUUAUGACGCACUUGGAGGAACGUGAACCAAAUUGUAGGCAAAGUUUCCCUGACUCUUCUUCAGCAGCUCAUGCCAUUGAUGUGGCAUUAAAGCAUGCAACAGCUCUGCUUGUUGUGCUGAUGGCAGGUGCCUCACGAACUCAGAUUCUCCCAGGAGUAAGCAGGACACAGGGCGCUGCAGUGAGAAGAUGAAGAGUCAAAAUGGUUCUUGAGGGGUCCAACAAGGAGCUCCCACUGCAACAGCUGGGUAAGAAACCUUUCUUCUUCUCAGAUGCUGGGCACAAAGAUAAGUGGAGCCAAGCUGGUGGUGGUUCUGCUGUGGGGCUGGAAAGCAGAUGUGCAGAAGGGUGAAGGUAAUGCCUUAACUUAAAGGAGUCAUUGUGUGCUCUGAAUGUGGCCCAGACCAAUAAUUGUCCUGCUUGCUGUUGUGAGACCAAGUAUGCUAAAUGUGUCUCAGUUACGCUUGUCAGAUGGUGUGUGGUUCGAUAUGGUAGAUCAUAGAAGGGGGUGGAUGGUGCCAAUAAAAUAGUAUUUGCUGCAUGAGGUAGCAACAUUGACUUGGACGUAUGGAUCAGAUUUAAUACUCAGUCUUUCAUUUUACUCCUCCCAUGGCAGUAUUGCUUCUAACCAUAAUUUAUUGUUGCUUUGGCCACUAUGAAAAGGUGUUAAAUGAGGCAGUUUUUUCUUAGUUGCACAAAAAAUAUCUGACUCUCAUAGAUAUGAAUGAAUUGAAUGUGGGUCUUUUAAAUCAUAAUACAGGAAAUAAGAGUCUUAUAUGUAUGUAUAUAUAUAAGCAAACAUAAUUAAAAUAUUUGAAGCAGAAUUUUUACUUUCUGCACAUCACUGAUGGGUACAAAAGAUCUACUGAGAGGUACCUGCUUGCUGAAAUUCAUCACUGAAAAAGCACACCAAUCUAUUUGCUUUUUAGUGUCUAGUUUUUAUAACAACUUAGAGAAUAUAUAAUUACAGUUUUAUAGAGAAACUCUAGAAUUAAUGUAUUGAGAAAAAAGACUAUAUAUUACAAUUAUAUAAAGCUCUUUCUCCAGUACAGAGCUGACUGUCACACUUUCCCUGCAGCCAGAGUGACAAUGAUCCAAAGCAUGAAUAAACCUAAAUGUGUUUGCUUCAAGCAAAGUGUUAUGACCCGGUUUAGCUAUAUCCUGGAGACUAGUUUGACUGGCAAGCAUGGUCAGAGUUUUUAGGGCUGGUGCCUCAAUGCUGAAGGCCAUCCAUGAUAUCUGAUGCUGUAUUCACUUGGUCAGGGCUAAUAAAUUCUCCAAUGGAUGAUUACUUUCAAACAAUAUAGCCACUGAAUGUAAAUCAUUGAUAGGCUUUACCUUACAUCAUUGAAGACAGUUUUUGCAUUGCACUGAAAAAUUAAUAAAAAACAAAACAAAACAAAACAAAAAACAGAUCAGCUAAUACAAAUGUUUAUCAAAGGAAAAAAAAUGUGUAAUUGGAACCGUAGAUACUCAGUCUAUAUGUGGAUGCUGAGCUCAAUUAGAAUGCUCUUGCUGACAAUUUGUUGUUAUUCUGGUAUUUGAUUUUGCAGUGCAAUUGAUGUAUUUUUUGUUCCUAGAAAGAAAAAUUUGUAGACACAUGCUUUGGUGAAUCAUUUUAUGAAUUAAGUUUGCAAACCACAAGUAGCUGUUGCACAGCCUAGCAUUAAAGUAUGUGCUUUCUGUUGCAAAGUAGGCAGUCUCUUCAAGAGGGUGAUUUUUCUUCCUGCUGUGUAUUUGGAAGUGUGGAACCUGGGACUCAGACUUCAUGGACACAUGGAAACAAGAGAAGAGUG